CCAGCGGAAGGAUCAUUACUAUGACAUGAACCGGACGGCCCGGGCUCGUUCCCCAACGGACCGGCCCGUUCGGGCGCUUUUGUCGCCCUAUCCCAUGUGAAUCGCAGCCAGUGUUGCCUCGGCGGUUGCCCCCAGGUCGUCUCCCGGGUCCCCUGAUGCUCUAGGCGCUUCGGGUGGGUUGUCCCGGUGAGACUUGGGGAGCGAACUCCUCCCCGCCGAGAGCUGUUCCAGUUGGUCCCAUUCAUGUCUUGUGAUUAGAAAUCCCGUCCGAGAGUUAGUCAAUAAAACAACACGCAAAACUUUCAACAACGGAUCUCUUGGUUCCGGCAUCGAUGAAGAACGCAGCGAAAUGCGAUAAGUAAUGUGAAUUGCAGAUUUCAGUGAAUCAUCGAAUCUUUGAACGCAUAUUGCGCCCCUUGGAAUUCCGAUGGGCAUACCUGUUCGAGCGUCAUUCGCACUCCCUGUUCCAGCGCCCGCUGGGCCUUGGGCGGUGUUGUUCGGGUGGUGGUUGUGCACCCCCCUGGACGACACGCCCCAAAGUGAAUGUCGACCCGUUGCCGGGAGCAUCGAGCGCAGUAAAACUCCAGUUGAUUUUGGUUGGAUCUCGCUCGGCCGGCUGCCCGUGACGCGGUUUGGUCCAGGCACACUCCAGGUGGAGUCUGUCCCCCGUCAUCUAUCCACGUGGACCUCGAAUCAGGUAAGGAUACCCGCUGAACUUAAGC
rnacentral:rRNA from 1 species